rnacentral:rRNA from 1 species
ACGCGACCCCAGGUCACGCGGGACGACCCGCUGAGUUUAAGCAUAUCAAUAAGCGGAGG